GUGCUGAGUUUGGAGAAGAGGAGAGCUUGUGGACCUUGGAGGAAGCUUUGAUGUGAAGAGAUGAGCUUCUUGGUGGAUCAAUCUUUAACCCCAACUCAAGAUAACUUGAUUUGAAGCUUUCUCGAAGAUUUGAAGCUUUGUAGCUUCAAUUGGGACUUUGAUCAAGUUCUCCUUAGGUAAAGAAAUUCUUUUAUGGUGCUAGAAGCUUGGUGGACAACUUCGUUUGAAGGAAUGAAAGGGUUCGAGGAGCAUUUGACCUCACACUAUUCUCCUUGGAAGCCAUCGACUACGACAUCAACAUCGACGAGGAAGUCGUUGGCUGCAAUGAAAAAAAAUCCGACUCGUUGAAGAGAUCAACGAGGCGGCGGUGCACAGACACACAUGCGCCAUCAAGCGGCCGGAAAAGCUCCUCGGCCUUAGCCUUCCGCCUCCCGCUUGGGCCGCUGCCGCUGCCUCCACCUUGAGCGUGUCCUUGAUUGACCGGAUAGGGGCCGGGGGAUGGGGGCCCCACAUUAUUGUUAAAUGUUAAUUUGCAUUAUUAAAAUAAAGUGUACAAUUUUCAUCUAAAGAGAGUAACUUUUAUUUUAAAAAUAUAAUAUUCGUCUUAAAAAGUGCAAUAUUCUCCUCAAAAGGGGAUAGGGGCCCCACAUUAUUGUUAAAUGUUAAUUUGCAUUAUUAAAAUAAAGUGUACAACUUUCAUCCAAAAAAAGUAACUUUCAUUUUAAAAAUGUAAUAUUCGUCUUAAAAAGUGCAAUAUUCUUUUCAAACAGUGUAAUUUUUUUUUUUGAAGCUGGACAACUUUAUCUUAACAAUAAAUUUCAUCAUCUUCUUUUUUCUUCUCUAAUUUUUUGUCUUUUCUGUACCGGCGAUGA